CCUACGGGAGGCAGCAGUUAGGGAUCUUGCGCAAUGGGCGAAAGCCUGACGCAGCGACGCCGCGUGGGGGAAGACGGCCCUCGGGUUGUAAACCUCUUUUCCAUGGGACGAGGCAGGACGGUACUGUGGGAAUAAGCAUCGGCUAACUCCGUGCCAGCAGCCGCGGUAAUACGGGGGAUGCAAGCGUUGUCCGGAUUCACUGGGCGUAAAGGGCGCGUAGGCGGUUUGCUCAGUCGGUCUUAUAAGUGCGGGGCUCACCCCCGUGAGGGGAUCGAGACGGGUGAACUGGAGCGCGGUAGAGGGAUGCGGAAUGCCGGGUGUAGUGGUGAAAUGCGUAGAGAUCCGGCGGAACACCGGUGGUGAAGACGGCAUCCUGGGCCGAUAGCUGACGCUGAGGCGCGAGAGCGUGGGGAGCGAACCGGAUUAGAUACCCGGGUAGUCCACGCCGUAAACGGUGGACACUAGGUGUGGGGGGUAUCGACCCCUCCCGUGCCGGCGCGAACGCAGGAAGUGUCCCGCCUGGGAGUACGGCCGCAAGGCUAAAACGUCAAAUGAAUUGACGGCUGAGACNGCGAGACGACACGAGGAGAG
rnacentral:rRNA from 1 species